rnacentral:rRNA from 1 species
AGUCGAGCGAAUGGNUUAGAGAGCUUGCUCUUAUGAAGUUAGCGGCGGACGGGUGAGUAACACGUGGGUAACCUGCCCAUAAGACUGGGAUAACUCCGGGAAACCGGGGCUAAUACCGGAUAACAUUUUGAACUGCAUGGUUCGAAAUUGAAAGGCGGCUUCGGCUGUCACUUAUGGAUGGACCCGCGUCGCAUUAGCUAGUUGGUGAGGUAACGGCUCACCAAGGCAACGAUGCGUAGCCGACCUGAGAGGGUGAUCGGCCACACUGGGACUGAGACACGGCCCAGACUCCUACGGGAGGCAGCAGUAGGGAAUCUUCCGCAAUGGACGAAAGUCUGACGGAGCAACGCCGCGUGAGUGAUGAAGGCUUUCGGGUCGUAAAACUCUGUUGUUAGGGAAGAACAAGUGCUAGUUGAAUAAGCUGGCACCUUGACGGUACCUAACCAGAAAGCCACGGCUAACUACGUGCCAGCAGCCG